CUAAAAGGUUUUGAUUACAAGAUGAAUCCAUAUGAGGGGGGAGGGGGAAGGUUGAUGUUUCUUGGAAACAGUUUAUGUGAUUGAAGAAUAAAGAAUAAGCCACAUUAUUGUACUUAGGAAGCUGUAUCAUUGCAGCCCUGGUUAGGUCAAUGAUUAGGAUCUCAUAUCCAACUCUUAUAGAUGUUCAUUAACAUAUUACUUGGUUUUCACCCACCAUAAACUGUUGAAAAAGUAGGGAAAAAAAUGCUUUCAUUUUCUAGUGGUUGUGGG
rnacentral:misc_RNA from 1 species